GGAUGUAAGGGUGAUCUGGCUGCGACAUCUGUCACCCACUGAUGGCCAGGGUUGAUUGGGCUGAUCUGGCUGGCGAGGCGGGUGUCCCCUUCUUCCCUCACCACUCCAUGUACAUCCCUCCCGAAGCUGCGGGCUCGGCUCGGUCGAAGAGGACGACCAUCCCCCAUAGAGGAGGACCAGUCUUCGGUCAAGGGUAUAAGAGUAGCUGCGCUCCCCUGCUAGAACCUCCAAACAAGCUCUCAAGAGUCUCACAGGUUGGCUUUGAACAGUGGUCCUCAGAUUUCAGCCUCCUGAAUAGGAUUACAGGAUUACACCAGCACCUGGCCUCUGAAUGUAUUUAU
ensembl:misc_RNA 7SK 7SK RNA